rnacentral:rRNA from 1 species
GAACGCUGGCGGUAGGCUUAACACAUGCAAGUCGUGCGAGAAAGUAUCUUCGGAUAUGAGUAGAGCGGCGGACGGGUGAGUAACGCGUAGGAAUCUACCUAGUAGAAGGGGAUAGCCCGAGGAAACUCGGAUUAAUACCGUAUACCUCCUUCGGGAGAAAGAAGGCCUCUCUUUGAAGCUUUCGCUACUAGAUGAGCCUGCGUAAGAUUAGCUUGUUGGUGAGGUAAAGGCUCACCAAGGCUACGAUCUUUAGCGGGUCUGAGAGGACGAUCCGCCACAUUGGGACUGAGACACGGCCCAGACUCCUACGGGAGGCAGCAGUGGGGAAUAUUGGACAAUGGGCGAAAGCCUGAUCCAGCCAUACCGCGUGUGUGAAGAAGGCCCUAGGGUUGUAAAGCACUUUAAGUUGGGAAGAAAAGUUAUUGGUUAAUACCCAAUAACCGUGACAUUACCAUCAGAAUAAGGACCGGCUAAUUCCGUGCCAGCAGCCGCGGUAAUACGGAAGGUCCAAGCGUUAAUCGGAAUUACUGGGCGUAAAGCGCGCGUAGGUGGUUUAUUAAGUUGGGUGUGAAAUCCCCGGGCUCAACCUGGGAACUGCAUCCAAAACUGAUUCACUAGAGUACGAUAGAGGGAGGUAGAAUUCACAGUGUAGCGGUGGAAUGCGUAGAUAUUGUGAAGAAUACCAAUGGCGAAGGCAGCCUCCUGGAUCUGUACUGACACUGAGGUGCGAAAGCGUGGGUAGCGAACAGGAUUAGAUACU